rnacentral:rRNA from 1 species
UACGGAGGGCGCAAGCGUUGUUCGGAAUCACUGGGCGUAAAGCGCGUGUAGGCGGCCGGGCAAGUCGGAUGUGAAAUCCCGAGGCUCAACCUCGGACCUGCACUAGAAACUGCGCAGCUCGAGUCUCGGAGAGGAUGGCGGAAUUCCCGGUGUAGGGGUGAAAUCCGUAGAUAUCGGGAGGAACACCAGCGGCGAAGGCGGCCUGCUGGACGGUUACCGACUCUUAUACGCGCCACCGUGGCGAGCAUACAGC